rnacentral:lncRNA from 1 species
UCCAAUCGUAGUUCGUUUUCCUAAUGUUUCUUUAAGUGUGGGGAUGAAAUGCGUUCGGUUUAGUACUAAUGGCACGGUGCAAUUAAGCAAUGUUACCGGGAAUAAUUCAUGUAUGGCUCGUGGACACGGGCAUUUCUCUAUUGUCGUUCCAUCUCGACCAUCUGAUGAAAUGACGAAAGAGCGCGUUUGGAGGUGGUGGGUGAUUGGAUUUGCAGGAGGAAUUGUGGGAUUGAUCUUGCUUCUUGUGGUUG